rnacentral:rRNA from 1 species
CUGAUGCAAGCCAUGCCGCGUGUAUGAAGAAGGCCUUCGGGUUGUAAAGUACUUUCAGCGGGGAGGAAGGGAGUAAAGUUAAUACCUUUACUCAUUGACGUUACCCGCAGAAGAAGCACCGGCUAACUCCGUGCCAGCAGCCGCGGUAAUACGGAGGGUGCAAGCGUUAAUCGGAAUUACUGGGCGUAAAGCGCACGCAGGCGGUUUGUUAAGUCAGAUGUGAAAUCCCCGGGCUCAACCUGGGAACUGCAUCUGAUACUGGCAAGCUUGAGUCUCGUAGAGGGGGGUAGAAUUCCAGGUGUAGCGGUGAAAUGCGUAGAGAUCUGGAGGAAUACCGGUGGCGAAGGCGGCCCCCUGGACGAAGACUGACGCUCAGGUGCGAAAGCGUGGGGAGCAAACAGGAUUAGAUACCCC